UUCGAAAGGGAAAUCCUCCUCCGAGGGAUGUUUAGAAUAUCAGCGCUCCUCGAACUUCUUCGAGCUCGGGCCCCGAGGAGGAAGACACGGGGAUGGUCCACGGGGCUACGAAGGACACAUUUCCGGACACUUCGAAAGUGAUACUCGAAAUCGAUGGACCGUAUUUGCUCGAGGGAUCCCGAAGACCGGGUCUACCCGCAGGACAAGGGUGUCUAUUCUUCGCAUCGCGUGUUCUCCGGCUUCGACAAGGAAUCGAAGAGCCGGUGCGCGCCGAACUGGAAGCUUCUUCGGUGGCCGGAAACGAUCGGAGACAAAGGUGCUCGGAAUUAACGUUUUAUUCGCACGAAGGUAAUUGGCUCUCUGUGUUUCCUAUAUUAUUAACGGGGGCGUCACGUUGUUUCUGUAAUAGACGAAUCAGUAGAAGCUUACUAGGUUAAUUAGAGGAGACCUUU